GAUGAACGCUGGCGGCGUGCCUAACACAUGCAAGUCGAACGGAGUUAUUAUUAUGAAGUUUUCGGAUGGAUUAAUAAUAACUUAGUGGCGGACGGGUGAGUAACGCGUGGGUAACCUGCCUCAUACAGGGGGAUAACAGUUGGAAACGGCUGCUAAAACCGCAUAACAUUGCGAUGUCGCAUGACAAUGCAAUUAAAGAUUUAUAGGUAUGAGAUGGGCCCGCGUCUGAUUAGCUAGUUGGUGGGGUAAUGGCCUACCAAGGCGACGAUCAGUAGCCGGCUUGAGAGAGUGACCGGCCAAAUUGGGACUGAGACACGGCCCAAACUCCUACGGGAGGCAGCAGUGGGGAAUAUUGCACAAUGGGGGAAACCCUGAUGCAGCGACGCCGCGUGAGUGAAGAAGUAUUUCGGUAUGUAAAGCCCUAUCAGCAGGGAAGAAAAUGACGGUACCUGACUAAGAAGCCCCGGCUAACUACGUGCCAGCCGCCGCCGUAA
rnacentral:rRNA from 1 species